CUACACCGCCCGUCACACCAUGGGAGUCGUUUGCUCCAGAAGCGGCUGCGCCAACCCGAAAGGGAGGCAGGCCUCCAAGGAGUGCACGGUAACUGGGGUG
rnacentral:rRNA from 1 species